GCCUUCGUGGUGUAAUGGUCAGCACACUCGACACGUAUUCGUAAGGUCCGAGGUUCGAGUCCCGGUGAGGGCA
rnacentral:tRNA from 1 species